GAACAGUAAUUUUUAUUUAUUUCAUUAUUUAUUUUACUAAGAAAGAAAACUGGAAAAAAAAAAUUGAAAACUGCUGCUCUUACUACAAAUUGUUUCAUUUGUGGUGUUCUACAAGUUUUUUGCAACACCAAUAGGAAUACUCAAUGAAGAAUGAGAAAACCAAUCAACAGAAAUAAGAAAUCAGGGGAAGAGAUGACGGAAUAAGAAAAUAAUAGAAGAGGGAGAAGAAUAAUGAAAGAAAGGGAAAAUUGCCACAAGCCACCAAAUAAUUUUAUUCAAUCAUCAACAAAAUGAAAUUAUAUGGCAAAUUAGGUUUAAAUAGUAAAAACAAAACCCUAACUAGAACGGGCUUGAUUUCCAACUACAUAAAUAAGAAACAAAAAUAAAGUCCAACUGGAAAUAAAUAAAAAUAGAUGUCCUCAUCACAUACCACAGAAGAAGUUCUUGAUGCUUAUAUUGAAGCGAUUGAACCCGUCCGAGCAGCAUUGACAUCUUGCUUGCGUUGCCAAGUAAUGGAUGACAUCAUGGAGGCUUGAAGAAACAUGAUUGGUUCAGAGGAUUUGAUAUGUCUGAUGAAUACCUAAGAGAUGUACACUGGAGCAGUGGAACAAGCAAGCUAUCGAAGUUGGGGCUGCAGUUUUUAUUGCAGUAAUCAUGUGGUUGUUUGGGAUUCACUAUGGGGACAGAGAAAGAGGUGAUGCUGAAUCAUCAAUCCGAUCACCCUCAUUACCUUGCUGUGUCCCGAAGUUUUUGUAACCGGCAGCCCCUUCUGGCAUGAACUCAUCUCCUUGCGGCUAUCAAAGCUCUGCUGAUUAUCCCUUCCAUUAACUUGCCUAAGUGCAUUAAUGUUUUUGGUGUGGAAUGGCCAUUUUGACCCUGAAAUUUUAUGAUGCUAUUUUCAUAUUAUGGAUAAAAAGGUCAUUUCACGUUGAUAACUUCCUAAUACCAUUACAAUUUUCCUUGAACUCCCGAAAGCUAUUUUAUGUUAAAAAAUGACCUCUAUCAACUCACUUGAAUCUCUUCGCAAUGAAGGAAAAUUAGAAUUUUGUUAUUGCUCAAAGCAUUAGAUAAUUGGCCAUGGUGUGCUUUCCCCUAGUGGUUAACGGAUCCUGGCAAUUCAAAAAUAAGUGCUGGAGACUGAACUAUAACAAGCAUUAAUAUGACCAUGUAAUUUUCCUGGACAGUGCAUGGAGGCAUAGGUGAAGACAGCACACUCCAGUCAUUGUUGGAGGCUGAAGGAGUCCUUUAUACAGGCCAUCGCAUCAAGGCUUCCAAGACAUGAAUGGACAAAGUUGCUGAAAAUGAAUGUGCUUUGACAAUUUGUCAUAGCAUUUGUGUGUGACAUAUACACAAGGAAACUUUACAUGCAAAGCUUAGGGCAAAUAAGGUAUGUGCGGAGAAGUUCGCAGAAUUAAUCCUUAGGUGUAAUCUUCGGUCAUUGGGGCUGUGCUUCCUAUUUGAAGAGGCAACAAUCGUGGAGUCUUCAAUCAUGGAGUUGCUGACAUUAGGCUGCAUAAUAUCUGUUAAUUUAGAGGCGACAGUUGUGGAGUCUUCAAUCAUGGAGUUGCUGACAUUGGAGAGCAUAACAUCAGUUAGUUUAACCCCACCCCUCGAGCGGUGGCAAGCAAACAGGGAGAUCACAGAACUCCUAGCAUUAUUGUGAAAGAAACUGGAGAUAUCCUCGAGGAUAUAUUUCAAAGUAUGUAAAACAAAUUAAUAACUAUAUAGUUGAAGUCAUAAUUUAUGAAUUACUGGUAAAUUCACCAUAUUUCAGCAAAUAAAUUAUAGCUAGGGCCUUACAAGA